UACGUAGGGUGCGAGCGUUGUCCGGAAUUAUUGGGCGUAAAGAGCUCGUAGGCGGUCUGUCGCGUCGGUCGUGAAAACUUGGGGCUUAACCCUGAGCUUGCGGUCGAUACGGGCAUGACUGGAGUUCGGUAGGGGAGACUGGAAUUCCUGGUGUAGCGGUGAAAUGCGCAGAUAUCGGGAAGAACACCCGUGGCGAAGGCGGCUCUCUGGGACGGUACUGACGCUGAGACGCGAAAGCGUGGGGAGCGAACAGG
rnacentral:rRNA from 1 species